rnacentral:rRNA from 1 species
AGAGUUUGAUCCUGGCUCAGAACGAACGCUGGCGGCAGGCUUAACACAUGCAAGUCGAACGCAUCCUUCGGGGUGAGUGGCAGACGGGUGAGUAACGCGUGGGAACGUGCCCUUCAGUUCGGGAUAACCCAGGGAAACUUGGGCUAAUACCGGAUACGUGCGAGAGCAGAAAGAUUAAUCGCUGAGGGAUCGGCCCGCGUCUGAUUAGCUAGUUGGUGGGGUAAUGGCCCACCAAGGCGACGAUCAGUAGCUGGUCUGAGAGGAUGAUCAGCCACAUUGGGACUGAGACACGGCCCAAACUCCUACGGGAGGCAGCAGUGGGGAAUAUUGGACAAUGGGCGCAAGCCUGAUCCAGCCAUGCCGCGUGAGUGAUGAAGGCCUCAGGGUUGUAAAGCUCUUUCGUCCGGGACGAUAAUGACGGUACCGGAAGAAGAAGCCCCGGCUAACUUCGUGCCAGCAGCGGCGGUAAUAC